AUUAGUUUUAGGAGGAGAAUGUUAAAUAAAAAGAAAAGCAUGAAAUAUACAUCUUUAUCACGAGUGAGGACGAACGACUAUUAUUUUUUAAAACCUUUUUUGUGAAAAAUCAAAUUUCUAGCACCGCGUUUCACAAAAUUCCCCAAAAUUUGAAUUCGAAAUGCGCCAAACACUUACCUCCCUCUCUUCUCCCUUUACCGUCCGGUGCUGACAUCGACGCGAACAAUGUCGGCGAUGGAGAAGCACGUCGUGCAGAUCUUCGAUAGAACGAGGCGGAUCAUCGACCAGGCUCGCCAUGAGUGCUAUCUCUGGGAGCAUCACCUUCUCCCCAAAUUUAUUCUCAACGGAAUUCCCCCUCCUCCAUGGCUAUGUAACUCUUCUCUUCACUCCUUCCCCUCAGAUCCCAAAGAUUCAAACAAAGAUGAUACUGUUUCUGGAAUUCUAUCGCAAACACAGUUUGGAAUUCCUUUCCCAGUUCAUCAUUGCAGUCUUUACAAAAAUCUGGAUGUUGUAACUGAUGAUGUUCAGUAUCCUAUUGGUUUGUGUAAUGACGUCCAUGCUUAUAAAAAAGACCAUGAUGUGGGGGAUAGACUUUCAAAUUUGCCUGAUUGUUCGGUUAACAAUGCUGGAUGUGCUUCAAGCGGUCCUCCAGAAUUUGAUUCAGGUGCUAUUUCACCUCAGCAUCAGAUAGAACCAAGAGUUUCAGAGAUUUUCCAUGACCCAGCAGUCUCACUGGCAAAGAUGCAAAGAUCAAGGUCAAGGCAGAAAGCUAUGGAGCUACGUAACAGUGCAAAAGCAGCCAAACGGUUGUCAGGAGAUGGUAAUAAUGCUGCCACAGCUACAGGUUCUGCAUCAUCAUCUUUACAGGAAGACCAUGCCAAGGAGUUAGGCUUGGUCAACGAGUUUCAUCCCAACCUCCAAAGUUGUUUGAUGGAAGAAAUGGGAAGAGAGGGCUGUCAGAAUCAAAUAGAUCACAGGUCUAAUUACUCUGGUCGUAUAACAAGAUCUAAAAGUUCAUCUCAGAAGUUAAACUCUUUGAGCGUUGGUAGUUCCUCCGUAGAGAAGGAAGAUGGUCCACCACUUAAUGAUAUGAAUGAAGUAAUGGAGCUAGUCAACCGACAUUCUUUUAUAAAUGGAAGUUGUGGGGUUCGGGAAGCAAAUACACUAGAGUGUCCGACAAAAGAAGUUGGAAGCAGUGUCGAUGAUAAGAGAUUAACAAAACCUAGAACUUCUAGCCUGGCAGAACAUAGUAGUGAAUUAUUGAACUUAAACAACACUUCGGAUAGACACAAAGGGGUUGAGGUUUCUGAUCUGAAGCAACCAUGUUCUCAUGCUGUGUUAACCGAUAUAAGCAAAACAUCCAAUUGUAACAAUGGAAGUUGGAGGAGAACAGUUAAAGAUGGUGACUUUUGCCAAAAUAAACAGGAAAGUAACAUUCAAAGUAGGUUAAAACUACAUGGAAAUUCCUGUCCAUCACCAGGGGAUGAUUUUUUUACAACUGAUGGUUCUGUAAAGUCUAUCGACCAAUCAUUGCAAUCAUCUCGUCCUUUAGUUUUAAAGAAUUUGCAGGACCCCCCAGUCAACUUUGUUGGGUCUUUUAGUAGCCAAAAGGAACCUCACAUUUGUGCAGCAAAAACAAAAGAACAUUUAAGUAGAAGUGGUUCUGGAAAGGCAUACUUAACCAAAAAUUCAAAGUUAUCGAAGUCUCCAAACUCCAAUUCACGUGAACAAAAUGCAACUUGCUCUGAAUCUGCAGGUAAGAAGUCUCUAAAUGUACAGCCUACCGAACUGGAUGCUAGAAGGUUAUCUUCAAGUCCAAAGCAUUCCGAAUUAGAUAAAGAAAUUUCAAAAAAUUCUGCAGAGAAGGAGAACAUUGCAGAAGUUGCUGCGUCUAGAAAUACAAGGGCUGUGACUAGUUGCGUAAAAGAAGGAUCAUUAAGGCCGGUGAUCUUUUCCAAUUUAGACAGUGGGUCUUUACUUGCGGAAUCACGACACAUUAAAACAGCUGUGGUUGAAAAGGACUUGGAUGUCCAAGAAAAUAUAGCAACAGGAGCCAAUCCUUCUGAUAAUGCUGAGCACAGUUCUGCUGCAACUGUUGCCAAAGUUCUUGUUGAUUUUGAUGGAUUAGUUGAAAAAGAUCCUUCUUGUUUGGGGUCAAGACUCACUGCUGUUAACCCUAAGGUUGGGGAGGAUGUUUCCGUCUUAAGGCUUCCCUCUGAUUUUGUUAUGUCUGUGGUGCCUAAGAAACUUGUUUUUGAUGAAGGUGAAGAAACCGGUAGGGAUGGAAUAUCUAGCCCUGAUUUGAUAGUAGGGCGCCAGAUAGUGUCAUUAGAAAAAGAACCCGUGCCUUUGUCGGAACCAUUGAAGUUACUUGAUGAUGAAACCCAGGAAGUUAUAACAGAUUCUUUUUCUGAAGCAGUUCCUGAAAAUGGUAUGCAUAAACAUACAGAUGAGAGUGUUACAAACUUCACAGUUAGGUUCCCAUCCGGUGCCCCUACUGAUGAAGUGAAUGUUGAUUUGGCACAACAGGCUCCAAAUACCAUUGCCAGUGGUCAAAAUGGGGAGUUAUUGAGGCAGACACUGCUCAGUAAUGGAAAAGUUACCAGUUUUUCAGCCGAUAUCCAUAAUUUCCCAAGUUCCACAGAGCGUUUCAUUAACGAUGUGGAAGAUUCAUGCUCUCCGCCCAAGAAAAGGAAAAUUGAAAUUGAAACAAAGAUUUUUCUUCCCGACUCUACUCACGUAUUGGAAAAGCUAGUUGAUUCUAUCGACCAAAAGCCUGCAAGUGGAACCUUGAGCAACGAAGAAGACAAUCCUGAGACUGUCAUUGAAGUUCAACAUUUGGCAUCUGAUCACGAGGAUGAUAUAAGACAUGAACAUGCUAGUAAUAGCCCAACAGAUGUGAUGGAAGACACCGUGGAAAGCCAAAAAUUAGAAGGGUCUUCAUGUGAAAUGAGAACAGAGCAGAAACUUUUGUUGGAUGGAAGUGGCAGAAGUUCAGAAACUCCUAUGUUGGCAGAAGUAAAUCCAAUCCGUUUUAGUAUUGACUCGAUGAGGUUCACCAUGGACGAGAAGGCGGGGUCAUUGCAUCUUCAGGUUAAUUCUGGACAAGAUAGUGCAGAGCUUGUGACUUGUGUUGAAAGAAGCACCUCAAGUAGAAGGAUCUUUCGGGGGAUUGAUACUGAAUUGUCAGAUGAUUUGUCCGUUUCUCCCGGAAUCAGAGAUUUGGAUUUGAUUGAUACAGGUGAAGCUUUACCAGAGUUUGAAGGGUUCAUUAUGCAAACAGAUAAUGGACAACCAUGCACUGCUCAAGACCAAAUGGAAUUGGAAAAUAUGAAUCUUCCUAGUAACUCAGUAGAUUAUUCAUCACUUGGUAGAUCUAGUUUCAAGCGUUCUCCAUACCUUUAUGAGUCUGUACCUAAUAGACUUCUGGAGGGCUAUGGUCUAAGCUCUUCCCUUCCUCUAAACGAUGAGAGUCCAACGGCCCAUUCGGAUUACCUACCAAAUUGUAAUGGUCAGUAUACAUCUUCAGUUCAAUCUCUUUGGGAUAAAAUUAAUUUGAACUUCAGCAGUUCAGGAAAGCGUAAAAGUUUGAAAUCAGAGCUACCCUGCAUUAGCGAAGAAAAUGAAAAUGUGGAUGAAAUUGGUGGUACAUUCCGAGAAGGCAAUGGUUCAGAAGGAAUGACUGGGUCAAUUACCAGAGGACCACUUGCUCAGACUGUAGAUAAUGCAAACCCUUCAAAAUCAGUAUUAGAAGAUGCAUUAACUAGUGGAUGUGAGGAUUUUCUCAGCACAGAGUUUAACUUGGGUUGGACUCACAGUAAAGUAAAAAAGAAACUUGACAAGCAGGAUGGAAAUAGGGCAAGAUUUACAAGCAAGGGGAAGGAAAACCAGAGUUCCGUUGGAGCAAAUGGUGCCAAAAGGAACUCCGAGUCAGUCCGUAAAAGAUCCAGUAGGCCAAAGUUAUCUGGAAAAGAUAGUAGUAUGAAACAACGUCCCACUUAUUCUGGAGGGAAGACAACAUACAAGAAUAUUGUAUCUAAUGUCACUUCCUUUAUUCCAUUAGUGCAGCAAAAACAAGCAGCAGCGGUUAUAACAGGUAAGAGAGACAUCAAAGUGAAGGCUCUGGAGGCUGCUGAGGCAGCCAAGCGUAUUGCUGAAAAGAAAGAGAAUGAGCGCAAGAUUAAGAAAGAGGCAUUGAGACUUGAGCGGGAAAGACUGGAGCAACAAAAUCUAAGGCAGAUGGAGCUGCAGAAGAAAAAGAAAGAGGAAGAAAGAAAGAAGAAGGAGGCCGAAAUGGCAGCAAAAAAAAGACAAAGGGAAAAUGAAGAGAAAAAGGAGAAAGAAAGAAAAAGAAAACGUUUUAAUGACAUGAAGCAGCAAGAGCAUGGGAAGAUACAUGCUAAGAUAGAAGAGAUAAAAAUACAGCGGCGAGCUACAGGUGAAGAAGUCCAUGAAAGCAGGAAAAUUAUGGAUGAAAGAAACAAUUAUAACAACUUGCAACUGCAAAAGAAUAGUGAAUGCGACGCGGAGAAAAUUUCUGAAACUAAACCUUUGACCAUCAGGGAUUCAACUAUUAAAACCAAGGAAAGUUGUCUUGAUAAUUCAGAAUCUGUGAACUACUGUGCUAAUAAAGGAAAGGCAACAAUGGUUGAUUUGAUCAAAGCCCCUGAAGACAAUGACUUGAUCAUUGGGAACUCUUUUCAAGAGCAAUCUUACGAGAUGUCUCCAUACAAAUCAGAUGAUGAAGAUGAGGAUGACGUGCCGAAUAAUAAGUUUAUACCAUCAUGGGCAAGUAAGCAUAGCCUGUUUCUGAUGGUUUCUUCCCAGAAAAUGGACCCGGAAAGGAUAUUUUCUCAGAAAACUUUUUGCAAUAUAGCAAAAGUUCUCCUGCCUCGGAAGCUUCAGUUGUAGUACCAAGUCAGGACUCCAUAUCAUAGCGAUUCUCCCAUUUCAUAAUAUGGAAUUUUGUGUUAAGAUUUAUGUAGAGCUUCAUUACGGAUUAAGGUGUAUCCGCAAAGGUGAUCGGAUGAUCCCUGCCAUAUCUUUUCCAUAUUUGAGCAAAGAGUUGCAAUCAGUAUUUUGAUGCACCCUCAAAUUUGCUGCUUCUAUCGAUCUUGGUUUUCUUUGAGAUGUGUCCUUUUGUACAGUUAAAUAAUCCGAAAGGAAGUCAAUAUAAGUGUGAAUCUCUGUUAAAAGAAAGCCAGUUUCGAGGCCCCUGAACCUGCAUAUAAUGGCUAUGUUUCGCUGAAAUGUACCCGAUUGUUGAUUUAUUUAUGAUACUUUAGACUUGUUAAAAGUUUUUUAUAUUUCAAAUUUAAGCAGACAACAUGCACACUCAUAUUGGUUAUUAAAUUAUUAUUAGACUACUUAACUAA